rnacentral:rRNA from 1 species
CACGUAAGGGGCAAGCGUUGUUCGGAAUUAUUGGGCGUAAAGGGCGUGUAGGCGGAUAUAUAAGCCUGGUGUAAAAGGCUUCGGCUCAACCGGAGUUAGGCGCUGGGAACUGUAUGUCUAGAGUACAGGAGGGGGAGUUGGAAUUCCUGGUGUAGGGGUGAAAUCUGUAGAUAUCAGGAAGAACACCGGUGGCGAAGGCGAACUCCUGGCCUGUUACUGACGCUGAGGCGCGAAAGCGUGGGGAGCGAACAGGAUUAGAUACCCGCGUA